UACGAAGGGGGCUAGCGUUGCUCGGAAUUACUGGGCGUAAAGGGCGCGUAGGCGGCACUGUUAGUCAGGCGUGAAAUUCCUGGGCUCAACCUGGGGACUGCGCUUGAUACGGCAGAGCUAGAGGAUGGAAGAGGCUCGCGGAAUUCCCAGUGUAGAGGUGAAAUUCGUAGAUAUCAGGAAGAACACCUAUGGCGAAGGCAGCUCUCUGGGACGGUACUGACGCUGAGACGCGAAAGCGUGGGGAGCGAACAGG
rnacentral:rRNA from 1 species